UUGAGAAACCCUGCUGCAAACUCUCUCUCCUCCCGACGAUCCUCUAUCCUCCCGCCGCCGCCCCUCCUGUGUAGAGCGGCGCGGCGCGUCUACUGACACCCCGGCGUGGGGGAGCGACGUCCAGCUCUGGAUCUGGCACAAGGGCGCGCCGACGGGCCGAGCUCGGCCGGGGCGACGACGCGAGGGCGAGCGCAGCGUGCUUGCCUCCCUCCGGCUCCACUGCCGCUCCUCGUCCUCAGCGCCCUGGUCCUGGUCGCGGCCGCCGCAUUCUCUGCCGCCGCCAUCGCCGACACCGACACAUGGCGCGAGGCCCGCACGGGGAAGCAGGAGGGACCAAGCGGCGCAGCCGCGCAAGGCAAUGCGACGCUGCUUGACGCGCCGCCCACCAGAUCUAUCUACUCAGCCGCAAGCGUCAUUCCCCCUCGCCUUUUUUUGCCGGCGACCGUGUCUGGGCUCAAGUAGUCUGCGCAAGCCGCCAGCAUCGUUCCCCUCGCCUUUGCCACUCGCGCCUCCCUUUGCUAGCGACCUCGUCCGAGCUCAAGUAGUCUGCACACGGAGGGUAUGGAGUAGGGGCCAAACAGCUUGUCGAGAUGCAGUGCCUCGUCGGCAAUGCUGCAACCAGAUGGGCUCAAUACGCGGCUGCUGGUUGCACUGCUGCAGCCGGAUGGGCCACAGACACCGGUUCCAAUCGAGCACGUACUUCUCCCCUUCCACUGCCUCAAGGAAGAAGGGCCCUCCAUCUAACCUGAUGUUCUGAACUACCAUCGCCGAUUUAGCUAUGCCUAUCCCUACAACCAGGAGUAGCGAGGCCUUGCGGCGUCAGGUGCAAGGCACGCGCGGGCAAGGCGGCCGUCGACCCCCACCUCCAAAGCGGACUGAUGCCCCCUCUCCCUCCGUUUCUAUAGAAGCCACGCCCUUUCCCCUCCACGAUGCAAAGGAUCCCAAAUAUCAGAAAUCAACAAGUCAACCAGACACAAGGAGAGAAAAAGGAAAAUAAAGCCUUACGCCCUUACCAGACCAAUCUACAGCUUCCAUCAGCAAAACUUUUGGAAGAAACUGAUGAUCAUAUUACACGUUCAAGUAACAAGCUGCAAGGCUGGCCGAUUGUCAAUGGCAAGCAAAACAUCCUUGCAAACCUGCAUGAUCUCAUUCUUCAUGGGCUACAUUAGGAUUUUUCAGAAUAUGUUCUGUUGUGGUCAACCAACAGAAAUGCCUCGUAGGAGCUAUACCACGUUACUUGCUUGGACCACGACAUGGGAGAGAAUGGACCGAGGGGCAAAUUGUUCGAGAUUAUGGAAUAUUUCUUUUUCAAUAUUUCCAAUCAACACAAAUUUAAUUUCAUUACUAUCGACAGAUAUGUAUCCAAGCUCAUAGUAUUCAUGCUGGCCAAUCAAAGGCCGACGCGCUGCAACGCCGCGCGUUGAUUCUAGUAAA